GGUUAAGCGACUAAGCGUACACGGUGGAUGCCCUGGCAGUCAGAGGCGAUGAAGGACGUGCUAAUCUGCGAAAAGCGACGGCGAGGUGAUAUGAACCUUUGACCCGUCGAUGUCCGAAUGGGGAAACCCAGUGUGUUUCGWCACACUAUCGUUAACUGAAUACAUAGGUUAACGAGGCGAACCGGGGGAACUGAAACAUCUAAGUACCCCGAGGAAAAGAAAUCAACCGAGAUUCCCCCAGUAGCGGCGAGCGAACGGGGAGCAGCCCGGAGUCUGAAUCAGCUUGUGUGUUAGUGGAAGCGUCUGGAAAGUCGCACGGUACAGGGUGACAGUCCCGUACACGAAAAUGCACAGGUUGUGAACUCGAAGAGUAGGGCGGGACACGUGGUAUCCUGUCUGAAUAUGGGGGGACCAUCCUCCAAGGCUAAAUACUCCUGACUGACCGAUAGUGAACCAGUACCGUGAGGGAAAGGCGAAAAGAACCCCGGCGAGGGGAGUGAAAAAGAACCUGAAACCGUGUACGUACAAGCAGUGGGAGCACCUUCGGGUGUGACUGCGUACCUUUUGUAUAAUGGGUCAGCGACUUAUAUUCUGUAGCAAGGUUAACCGUAUAGGGGAGCCGCAGGGAAACCGAGUCUUAACUGGGCGUUAAGUUGCAGGGUAUAGACCCGAAACCCGGUGAUCUAGCCAUGGGCAGGUUGAAGGUUGGGUAACACUAACUGGAGGACCGAACCGACUAAUGUUGAAAAAUUAGCGGAUGACCUGUGGCUGGGGGUGAAAGGCCAAUCAAACCGGGAGAUAGCUGGUUCUCCCCGAAAGCUAUUUAGGUAGCGCCUCGUGAAYUCAUCUUCGGGGGUAGAGCACUGUUUCGGCUAGGGGGCCAUCCCGGCUUACCAACCCGAUGCAAACUACGAAUACCGAAGAAUGUUAUCACGGGAGACACACGGCGGGUGCUAACGUCCGUCGUGAAGAGGGAAACAACCCAGACCGCCAGCUAAGGUCCCAAAGUCAUGGUUAAGUGGGAAACGAUGUGGGAAGGCACAGACAGCCAGGAUGUUGGCUUAGAAGCAGCCAUCAUUUAAAGAAAGCGUAAUAGCUCACUGGUCGAGUCGGCCUGCGCGGAAGAUGUAACGGGGCUAAACCAUGCACCGAAGCUGCGGCAGCGACACUAUGUGUUGUUGGGUAGGGGAGCGUUCUGUAAGCCGUUGAAGGUGUGCUGUGAGGCAUGCUGGAGGUAUCAGAAGUGCGAAUGCUGACAUAAGUAACGAUAAAGCGGGUGAAAAGCCCGCUCGCCGGAAGACCAAGGGUUCCUGUCCAACGUUAAUCGGGGCAGGGUGAGUCGACCCCUAAGGCGAGGCCGAAAGGCGUAGUCGAUGGGAAACAGGUUAAUAUUCCUGUACUUGGUGUUACUGCGAAGGGGGGACGGAGAAGGCUAUGUCAGCCGGGCGACGGUUGUCCCGGUUUAAGCGUGUAGGUGUGUGUUCCAGGCAAAUCCGGUUCACUUUAACACUGAGGCGUGAUGACGAGGCACUACGGUGCUGAAGUGAUAAAUGCCCUGCUUCCAGGAAAAGCCUCUAAGCAUCAGGUAACACGAAAUCGUACCCCAAACCGACACAGGUGGUCAGGUAGAGAAUACCAAGGCGCUUGAGAGAACUCGGGUGAAGGAACUAGGCAAAAUGGUGCCGUAACUUCGGGAGAAGGCACGCUGAUAUGUAGGUGAAGYCCCUGCGGRCGGAGCUGAAAUCAGUCGAAGAUACCAGCUGGCUGCAACUGUUUAUUAAAAACACAGCACUGUGCAAACACGAAAGUGGACGUAUACGGUGUGACGCCUGCCCGGUGCCGGAAGGUUAAUUGAUGGGGUUAGCGGCAACGCGAAGCUCUUGAUCGAAGCCCCGGUAAACGGCGGCCGUAACUAUAACGGUCCUAAGGUAGCGAAAUUCCUUGUCGGGUAAGUUCCGACCUGCACGAAUGGCGUAAUGAUGGCCAGGCUGUCUCCACCCGAGACUCAGUGAAAUUGAACUCGCUGUGAAGAUGCAGUGUACCCGCGGCAAGACGGAAAGACCCCGUGAACCUUUACUAUAGCUUGACACUGAACACUGGUCCUUGAUGUGUAGGAUAGGUGGGAGGCUUUGAAGCGUGGACGCCAGUCUGCGUGGAGCCGUCCUUGAAAUACCACCCUUUAAUGGCUGGUGUUCUAACGUGGACCCGURAUCCGGGUUGCGGACAGUGUCUGGUGGGUAGUUUGACUGGGGCGGUCUCCUCCCAAAGAGUAACGGAGGAGCACGAAGGUUAGCUAAUCCUGGUCGGACAUCAGGAGGUUAGUGCAAUGGCAUAAGCUAGCUUGACUGCGAGAGUGACGGCUCGAGCAGGUGCGAAAGCAGGUCAUAGUGAUCCGGUGGUUCUGAAUGGAAGGGCCAUCGCUCAACGGAUAAAAGGUACUCCGGGGAUAACAGGCUGAUACCGCCCAAGAGUUCAUAUCGACGGCGGUGUUUGGCACCUCGAUGUCGGCUCAUCACAUCCUGGGGCUGAAGUAGGUCCCAAGGGUAUGGCUGUUCGCCAUUUAAAGUGGUACGCGAGCUGGGUUUAGAACGUCGUGAGACAGUUCGGUCCCUAUCUGCCGUGGGCGCUGGAGAAUUGAGGGGGGCUGCUCCUAGUACGAGAGGACCGGAGUGGACGCAUCACUGGUGUUCGGGUUGUCAUGCCAAUGGCACUGCCCGGUAGCUAAAUGCGGAAGAGAUAAGUGCUGAAAGCAUCUAAGCACGAAACUUGCCCCGAGAUGAGUUCUCCCUGAGACU
rnacentral:rRNA from 1 species